GACGAACGCUGGCGGCGUGCUUAACACAUGCAAGUCGAACGGAAAGGCCCUUCGGGGUACUCGAGUGGCGAACGGGUGAGUAACACGUGGGUGAUCUGCCCUGCACUUUGGGAUAAGCCUGGGAAACUGGGUCUAAUACCGAAUAGGACCACGCGCUUCAUGGUGUGUGGUGGAAAGCUUUUGCGGUGUGGGAUGGGCCCGCGGCCUAUCAGCUUGUUGGUGGGGUAAUGGCCUACCAAGGCGACGACGGGUAGCCGGCCUGAGAGGGUGACCGGCCACACUGGGACUGAGAUACGGCCCAGACCCCUACGGGAGGCAGCAGUGGGGAAUAUUGCACAAUGGGCGCAAGCCUGAUGCAGCGACGCCGCGUGAGGGAUGACGGCCUUCGGGUUGUAAACCUCUUUCAAUAGGGACGAAGCGCAAGUGACGGUACCUAUAGAAGAAGCACCGGCCAACUACGUG
rnacentral:rRNA from 1 species